GAUGAACGCUAGCGGCAGGCCUAAUACAUGCAAGUCGAACGAGAUUACGAGGCUUGCUUCUUAUGAAAGUGGCGCACGGGUGCGUAACGCGUAUGCAACCUACCUUAAUCAGGGGGAUAGCCCGAAGAAAUUCGGAUUAAGACCGCAUAAAAACACAGGAUAGCAUUAUCCAAUGUUCAAAUAUUUAUAGGAUUAAGAUGGGCAUGCGUGUCAUUAGCUAGUUGGCGGGGUAACGGCCCACCAAGGCGACGAUGACUAGGGGAUCUGAGAGGAUGACCCCCCACACUGGUACUGAGACACGGACCAGACUCCUACGGGAGGCAGCAGUAAGGAAGAUUGGUCAAUGGAGGGAACUCUGAACCAGCCAUGCCGCGUGCAGGAAGACAGCCCUCUGGGUCGUAAACUGCUUUUAUUCGGGAAUAAACCUUUCUACGUGUAGGAAGCUGAAUGUACCGAAGGAAUAAGGAUCGGCUAACUCCGUG
rnacentral:rRNA from 1 species